rnacentral:lncRNA from 1 species
AUGUCUCCCUGCCCCUUCUGCUGUCACAUUGUCUGCAUUUGGCCAGUGGGGGCCCCGUUAUGCUGGUUCCUGUGUCCUUAUAACAUGUCCCUAUCAUUCUUUGAGAACUUUACUUUCUGAUACAAAAGAUUCUCCAAGUCCAUUCUGUAUUUUCCCUACUCCACUCCUGGAGUCUGUUUUCUCUGAGACACCAUGGUUUCUUUUAGUGGGGAAUGCUAUUUUAAAAUCCAGAUUUGGGCCUUAGAUGAUUUGUUUUUUGUUUUUGGUUAUUUUUGGACAGAGAUUUGGACAGGUAGUGUUAUUGUGAUACGAAAACUACUAAAGUUCUGAUUUAAUAUCUA